AUACGGAGGGUGCGAGCGUUAAUCGGAAUUACUGGGCGUAAAGCGUACGUAGGCGGUUGGUUAAGUUAGAUGUGAAGGCCCCGGGCUUAACCUGGGAACUGCAUUUAAAACUGGCGAACUAGAGUUGAGUAGAGGGGAGUGGAAUUUCAGGUGUAGCGGUGAAAUGCGUAGAGAUCUGAAGGAACACCAGUGGCGAAGGCGACUCCCUGGACUCGAACUGACGCUGAGGUACGAAAGCGUGGGUAGCAAACGGGAUUAGAUACCCCGGUAGUCC
rnacentral:rRNA from 1 species